GACGAACGCUGGCGGCGUGCUUAACACAUGCAAGUCGAGCGAUGAAAGCCUUAUGAACUAUUCGUAGUGAUUGGGGCCGGAUUAGCGGCGGACGGGUGAGUAACGCGUGAGCAACCUGCCUUAAACAACGGGAUAGCCUCGGGAAACCGGGAUUAAUACCGUAUGAGACCCCGCCUUCACAUGAAGAAGAGGUUAAAGAUUUAUCGGUUUAAGAUGGGCUCGCGUCUGAUUAGCUAGUUGGUGAGAUAAAAGCCCACCAAGGCAACGAUCAGUAACCGGCUUGAGAGAGUGAACGGUCGCAUUGGAACUGAGACACGGUCCAAACUACUACGGGAGGCAGCAGUGGGGAAUAUUGCACAAUGGGGGAAACCCUGAUGCAGCGACGCCGCGUGAGCGAUGAAGGAAUUCGUUUCGUAAAGCUCUGUCCAAGGGGAAGAUAAUGACAGUACCCUUGGAGGAAGCCCCGGCUAAAUACGUGCCAGCCGCCGCAGUAA
rnacentral:rRNA from 1 species